GGAUUGGUGAUUCAGUGGUAGACUUCCCACCUGCCACGAGGAAGAUCCAGGUUUAAUUCCUGGCCAAUGCA
rnacentral:tRNA from 1 species